UGAGGAACCCACCCCGGAGACCGGGAUAACCCUCCGAAAGGAGAGCUAAUACCGGAUGUCCUCAUCGGAUCGCAUGGUCUGAUGAGGAAAUGGAUUCCGCUCCGGGACGGCCUCGCGGCCUAUCAGCUUGUUGGUGAGGUAACGGCCCACCAAGGCGACGACGGGUAGCUGGUCUGAGAGGACGAUCAGCCACACUGGGACUGAGACACGGCCCAGACUCCUACGGGAGCAGCAGG
rnacentral:rRNA from 1 species